UUCACCUGCCGGCUGGCGCCGCUGUCCUCGCCCUACGCUCCUGGGGCCGGAACCCUCCUCGAGCAAGCGGAGUAGAACGGACCCAUCUGCCGGCCGGAGCGGCGGCGCCUCUAUGCGGACUCCGCACGAAACCAGCGGAGUAGAACAGACCCAAUUGCCCGCAGGAGCGAAGGCGCCUGGAUGCGGACCCGGCUGCUGGAAGACUGGAGCCCACCCGGAAGCGACUUUGGGUCCGCUGCGCCCCACGCCUAUGCAGAGGCGGUCCACCAGCGGAGCGAGUUUACACUUACAGCAAAGCUGCUGCUCAUUCAUGUCUCUGGUCACACAACAUAUUGGCAUAGUCGGUAGGAUCAGGGGAUCGCGAAGGAGCAGAAAGACUUUCUGAACACCGGGCUGGAGGACAGCUGCCUCCACCAGAUCCUCGGAGAGAUCUUCGCUGAAGCCGUUUGAGGUUUUACUUCUAUAGAUGUGGAAGCUUCUCCUUGUAAAGAGCACAGUUUUACAUUGCAAAGGGAAUGGGUGCAUUAGACUUGAUGUAAAGGAAAUCAAACCUUUUUCUUAACUAAUACUUCUAAAGGUCCUAUAAUGGACUGGAGUCCAAAGGCAACUUUACUUGACAGCAAUAAGAGACCUAUUAACAUUGAGUUGCCAAGAGAUGAGUUUACUUAUCCUAUAAAUAAAAAUAAAAUUAAUAUUAAUAUGAUAACACCUAUGAGUUGGACAGAUGUUGAGUUUGCACCCCCCGCACCUGGAAUUUAUGACUUUCCUGAACAAAAUCAUUUGUGGAAAGUAGCAACAGCUCUAAAACCUAUGAAGGGUU